UGCAUUCGUCAAACUAUUCAAUUCUGAUGUUUAUUGCUAGAAAAUCACACAAAUGAGGGGUUUAAACUGUAUUUAUACACUCAAAUGUUCCAAAUGUUACAAAAUUGCAAACCUCAUAGAAAAUGAAUAGCAAAAAAAGCAGCUUACAGUUUGACUUUGACCUCUUGAGAAUGACAAGCAACAGUUGCUGAAGAUAAAUGACCAUUUGAGACAUAAAAAGUGUAAUUUCUUUUCUGGACCUACAGUACUCUGUACCAUAUUUGUGGAAAGUGCAACAUGCUUUUUACGUGGGUGUGACAAAAUUACAUGUUUUAAAGUGUACAGUGACAUGUUAUAAACUUCAGCUACAAGCAUUUGAUGUGUUUAAAAUGAGUUACUUUUCAUGCUAGGUUACCUUUAAGUUAGCAGUUUAUCAAGCAUAUCUAGUUUAGCAUCUAAUGCUUUUUUAAAAAGCAACACCAAAGUGUAGCUACUGUAUCACUGUUACUGUACUGUGUAUCGGUGUUAUAGUGUAUCAGUGUCAAUGUUUUGAACAUGUAACAUUUUUGAACAGCACUAGGAAUUCAACUUUCUUACAUUCCCACAGCACACAGUCGAGAGGCUGAAACUAGGGUAUACACUUACAGCAUGGUCAGGUAGACAGGAGGAAUGUGCGCGCUGUAGUGACGCGCGUCUCUUCCACUUUAAGAAGGCGGAUUCACCGUUGCACACACUGUGUGUUUAUUACAAGCCUUGAAGUGGCACAUGGAAGCGAUACAGUAAAAUCCCUCUCUCUAAAUAUGGCGAAACCUACUGGCACUGACAGCGCACGGAACGGCUUGGAAGUUUUUUUGAAUUCUGCAUUUCAUUACGAUGACGAGUAGAUGAGUUGUCAUAUUUUCUGUACGUAUAUUUGAUGUUGUAUCAACUAGUUUCACCAUAUGGUUCUUCUGCUGCCACACUCGCGUCUGUAAAUGCGGCAGCGUUGGCGACUCCCGUCUGAUCCGACUCUCACAGCUGGAUAUUAUCGGCUGUUUAGGAGGAACUCCGGAGAGCUACGGACAGGUCAGGAGAGCAGAGACUGAGAUGGGAGAGCUGUCAAGCCCUAACAGACGCCAGUAAUUCAGUGAUUUAGACGAGAUGGCAGCGUCCAGUAACUCCAGUCUGUCGGGUUCCUCCGUCUCUUCGGAUCCUGAAGACUAUCAGCCACCGAUAUGGAAAUCCUACUUGUACCAAUUACAACAAGAAGCACCAAGACCAAAGAGGAUCACAUGUCCUCAGGAGAUGGAAAGCAGACCCAAAUACUAUGGUAGAGAGUUCCAUGGUCUGAUUUCCAGAGAGCGUGCAGAUGAACUGCUGGCAGGGACAGAAGGUGCUUAUCUCAUCAGAGAGAGUCAGAGACAACCAGGAACUUAUACACUUGCUUUGAGAUUUGGUGGCCAGACUCUGAACUACCGACUCUUUCAUGAUGGAAAGCACUUUGUGGGAGAAAAACGUUUCGAGUCGGUUCAUGAUCUGGUUACAGACGGUCUCAUCACUCUCUAUAUUGAGACCAAGGCAGCAGAGUACAUUGCCAAGAUGACCACAAACCCUAUCUACCAGCAUCUGGGCUAUACCUCUCUCCUAAGGGACAAAAUCACUCACCGACUCAACCGGACCCGCUCUGAGCCCAAAAAAGUUACUUUCCAACACGAGGACAAGAUCACCCCGUCACCGCUAAGCAGACGCACCACACUCAAGGACGGACCGGAGAAACACUGCAACUACGAGAAGAUCCACAACUUUAAGGUGCACACCUUCAGAGGGCCGCACUGGUGUGAAUACUGUGCUAACUUCAUGUGGGGUCUUAUCGCCCAGGGCGUCCGUUGUUCAGACUGUGGGCUGAACGUGCACAAACAGUGCUCCAAACUAGUGCCUAGCGACUGUCAGCCGGACCUGCGCAGGAUCAAGAAGGUCUUCAGUUGUGAUCUAACCACUCUGGUCAAAGCCCACAACACGCCACGGCCGAUGGUUCUGGACAUGUGCAUCAAAGAGAUCGAGCACAGAGGUUUGAAAUCAGAGGGUCUCUACAGAGUGUCAGGCUUCACAGAACACAUUGAAGAUGUCCGGCUGGCCUUCGAUAGAGAUGGUGAGAAAGCGGACAUCAGUGCCAAUAUCUACCCAGACAUCAAUAUAAUCGCCGGAGCUCUGAAGCUUUAUUUACGAGAUCUGCCCAUUCCAGUUAUCACAUAUGACGUCUACUCCAAAUUCAUACAGGCAGCCAAAAUAACAGACCCUGACUCCAGACUCGAGGGAGUUCAUGAUGGUCUCCUCCAACUUCCUCCAGCCCACUAUGAGACCCUGCGGUACCUGAUGACACACCUGAAGAGGGUCACCAUGUACGAGAAGGACAAUUAUAUGAACUCAGAGAACCUAGGAAUCGUUUUCGGCCCGACGCUCAUGAGGCCCCCGGACCAGAACACGCUCACCACUCUCAACGAUAUGAGAUACCAGAAAAUGAUUGUUCAGCUCCUGAUAGAGCAUGAGGACAUCUUGUUUUAAACAGCUGAAAUGAAGACAUCUUUUAAAGACUUUCAAGAGCUUGUAAAUUUUAAAAAGCGGCCUGCCUCACGUUUCAAAGAUAUUAUGUUUUCACAUCAUACAAAAUUUGGACCUAAUUGCACAUUUCACUCAAUGUGUUUCAAAACCCCAAACUAUGGAAGAUUGUUUCCGUUACGGAAUAAAAACUAAAAAGAAAAAGGCAAUUGCGACUUUUAUCUCACAAUUCUGACUUUUUUUCUUGCAAUGGCGAAUUUAUAUCUCACAAUUCUGAAUUUUGUUCUCAGAAUUUUGAAAUAUAUACUCACAAAGUCAAGUCAAAUUGUGAGACAAAAACGUGCAGUUCUGUGAAAAAUAGAAUUGUGAUAUAAAGUCACAAUUAUCUUUUUAUUUGCAAGUUUAUAUCUAACAAUUCAGAGAUUUUUCUCACAUUUCUGAGUUUAUAUGUCACAAUUCUGAGAAAAAAAAAAGUCAGAAUUAUGAGUUAGAAACUUGGAAUUGCAAGUAAUAAAGUCAGAAUUGUGAGAUAUAAACACAAUUAACAGCAUUUGUUUGAUAUGGAAGCUUGUUUCUGCCACAGAAUUAAAAAAAGGUAAUUGCGACUUUUUGCUGACUUUUUUCUCAAAAUUGUGUUUAUAUCUCGCUUUUCAGACAUUAUAACUCGCAUUUUGCUAGUUUAACAAGAAAAAAGUCUGAAUUGUGAGAUAUAAAGUCGCAAUUGUGAGAAAAAAAGUCAGAAUUGUGAGAUAAAAUGUCACAAUUACCUUUUUUUUUAUUCCGUUGCGGAAACAAGCUUCCAUAUCAAACAAAUGCUGUUAAGCAUGAAGUAACAAUUGCGACUUUUAUCUCACAAUUCUGACUUUUUUUCUUGCAAUGGUGAAUACAUAUCUGACAAUUCUGAAUUUUGUUCUCGCAAUUCGGAGUUUAUAUCUCACAAUUCUGAAUUUUCUCAGAAUUGUUUGUCUCGCAAUGGUUUGUAUCGCAAUUCAGACUUUAUAACUCGCAAUUGCGAGAAAAAAGUCAGAAUUGUGAGAUUUUUUCAGAAUCAGGAAAAGUCAGAAUUGCCUUUUUUAAACAUGGAGUGACAUUGUGUAUUCAACAUUCAUGCUGAAUACUGAAUGAAUUAUUAUUGAUGGGCAUUUUGUUUAAAUCAAAUCAAAGUACUUUUUUUUCUCUCUGAUGCCAAACAAGUAUGAUGCAUCGACCUCAAUGCUCUACAUGACGUAUGAAUCUAUGGUCAAUUAGCAUUGUGAAAAUGACAAAUUGUGUCAAGUAUGAAUUUUAAAAAAAUAUAUAUUUUUGGGUCAUGAGGUUGGUAAAUGUAUAAUAUGUGCUAUAAUGACAAGACAAUUAAGAUCAUGUGUAAAGCACUUUUUAAUUUUACAUGGAGUGUAAAUAGUUAUUUUUUGUUCAUCCAGUGUUAAUAAUGCUGUGUUUAACCCAUGCCUUCAAAUUGUUUUUUGUUCACCCUGACAACAAUGGAUGGAUCAAUCUGUGACUGGAAUAAUUCUGUGAGCAUUUAUUUAGUGCUUUUUCCUUCCUCCUUGGACUUGAUCCCAUUUCAAGAAUUACGCUAAACAAAAUUGUGUGUAUUGUGUUCAUCUUAGUCUCCUGAGGCGAGAUCAGUUCACCUCGAAAAAAAUAUUGACAAACGGUACCGUCACCUUGGUUUGACUUCCUUCAAAUAGUUUAUUUGAUAUAAGACCUUUCUACAAUUUUUUUGAAGAUAUUUUCUGUGAAGAAUGAUUGUAAUUAUGAUUGUAAUUUAUCAAAUGCUGAUUUAUUAAAUUAUGUAAAUCUG